rnacentral:rRNA from 1 species
UACGAAGGGGGCUAGCGUUGCUCGGAAUCACUUGGGCGUAAAGGGUGCGUAGGCGGGUCUUUAAGUCAGGGGUGAAAUCCUGGAGCUCAACUCCAGAACUGCCUUUGAUACUGAGGAUCUUGAGUUCGGGAGAGGUGAGUGGAACUGGCGAGUGUAGAGGUGAAAUUCGUAGAUAUUCGCAAGAACACCAAGUGGCGAAGGCGGCUCACUGGCCCGAUACUGACGCUGAGGAGCGAAAGCGUGGGGAGCAAACAGG